rnacentral:lncRNA from 1 species
AAAGGUACCAAACCCGCUUCAAUUUUAACCCCUAAAAGGUACUAGGAGCACCCCUGGCCUUUUUGGAUGGGAGUCCCCCCUGAGUUAGAAUCUUAAUCCAGUCCCUUUAUUCAAGUUCCACCAUAGCAACAUGUAGUUCCACAGUUAUUAUUCCACACCUGUCAUGAAGUAAUUUUCUCACCUCUAUUUUGUUGUUGUUUUUUUUUUCAGGUUAUUAUUGUUAAGCAAUUUGAUAGUGAUGUGUUUGAAGCACUGCUGGAAUUUCUUCACAUUGGAUCAUGUGAUCUAGGAUCCAGUCUCCUGCCUGGUUUACUCUCUGCUGCACACUAUUAUCAAGUAGAGGCAUUAUAUGAAGUGUGUGUUGAGAGCAUGAAGCGAACUAACAAUGACAAAGUAUUGGAGGAUGUUGUGCCAAACAGUGUUAUAAGUCCUUCAUUGAGAGCAAGUAUACAGCCAGACCGCGUCACUGAUACACAGUGCUAGCUGUUUUUAGAGGACUAGCUAGACUGGGUAACAAUGGAGUCAACAAAUUGGAGUUGUUUACAGAUGCAUGCCUCUUGGACAUAUUCCAGCCCGUCUUCACCAACAAGAUUUACUGUUUCUCUGUCAGUGACAGAAUUGCUGUGUAUUUGAGAGUUUAAAGGAGCUCAGUCACGGUUUGCGCAUGUUGAAAAGUUUAGCCUCAAUUUUUCAAAUUCGUCGUUUGUAAUCCGUGUCAAUCUUCUCCAUCCUUAGCCAUCCUUGUUCCUUUAUGGUUCAUCAUUAUCUCUCUGGUGUUGUUCUAUCUUAUUAAACUGUUAUUUUCAGGUUUCCUGCCAUUUAAAGGUAAUUUUGUACGGAGCCAAAAUAACUCAAAAUACCGUGACUGAGCUCCUUAAAGGUCUGUCGUGAAAUGAAUCUUAAGUAUCAGAAUACAACACAACACGAAUGUGUCAAAGUACAAUACAACAAAAACAACAACUAAUUUAUUGUAUCGAUCAGAAGGUUGAAGUUUUUCUCUCUCUCCCCCCCUUCCCCUCUCUCGCCCUCACCUUUUCUCCCCUACCUUACCCUAGUAAAAGAAAACAUAACUUUUACAGUAUAUUUAACAAAAUAGACGUAAUAUAUAAAACAUUUCCAUAAGAUGGAUUAGAUAAGACUGCCAUCAAGAGGCCUGCUAGAUUCUGCGAGUCGACAUUGCCAGGGGCUUGUAUUUUCCCUGUUUUCCCGGCCGGUUUCUGGGUGUUGUUAUCUUGCCCUUGAAAGUGGAAACUUAUAGAGUAUAGAGUAAGAAGGUAUUAAUGAAUGGGGCGAAACGUCUUCGAAGUGAAGGACAAACGGCCUGAUUACCGACUUUCAGUUGCUAGAUAUAUGGUUAGUAAACAUGGAUUACGGGUGACCAGUGGUAGGUCUGUCUCAGUGUCAAGACUUACUUGAGUAUGGUAGAGGUACAUUUGAGUAUAGUAGAAGUAAAAAUUGUAAAGAAUUUGCUCGUGUCUCAGUAUCUCAAGUCACGUUGUUUCUGUCACUUGCAAAGAGUUGUAGUUUACUAUAUAGAAUUAGAUUUGCAGGAAAAGUUUUUAAUUUAUCAAGAAAACACGGUCAAAUGGAAUUUUAUUAUUUAUAGAAUAUAUUGCAAUAAAAUUUUAGAAAAGCAAAUAUAGUACUUAAUGUUUUCUCUUGAGUUGAAUUUGUACACAAUGAAACUCCCUUUUUACGGAACACAUAAGGUUAGGCAUAAACUUAUGUCUGUGCUACAAGUAGACAGGGGGCUCCUUUAGUCGGAUAAAAUAUGACUGACAUGUGGCAAGGACCAACUUUACAUGCCCGCUUUAGAAGGCACAAAGCAUGUCCUUUAGAGUUGUCCGUUUUAGGUACGAUAAAGUGCUAAACUGAGGUCCUGCUUUAUGGGUGUGGCUUUUUUCGGCUCAGCACCCUAAAGGGUUCCGCAAAAGCUUCUGCUGUGGACCUUUUGAGGCGGAACACCCUUUGCCAAAACCGCUUUUUGAACCCUUCAAAGGUAGGUAAGGUAAAAGGUAAAGGUAAAAUCUUUAUUUAGACACGGUAUUUCCUUCAGGACUAUACAAUAUUUAAUUUAAAUAAAUCUAACUACCUAACUAAUUUAAUAUUGUAAAUAACUACUAGAAUAAGAGAAAUGAUAAAAACCUGCUUUACAAGGAAGCCGUGUAUAAAAACAAAAUAAAAUUUAUAUAAGACCACUGUCAAAA